rnacentral:rRNA from 1 species
GACGAACGCUGGCGGCGUGCCUAAUACAUGCAAGUAGAACGCACAGUUUAUACCGUAGCUUGCUACACCAUAGACUGUGAGUUGCGAACGGGUGAGUAACGCGUAGGUAACCUGCCUGGUAGCGGGGGAUAACUAUUGGAAACGAUAGCUAAUACCGCAUAAUAUUAAUUAUUGCAUGAUAUUUAAUUGAAAGGUGCAAUUGCACCACUACCAGAUGGACCUGCGUUGUAUUAGCUAGUAGGUGAGGUAACGGCUCACCUAGGCGACGAUACAUAGCCGACCUGAGAGGGUGAUCGGCCACACUGGGACUGAGACACGGCCCAGACUCCUACGGGAGGCAGCAGUAGGGAAUCUUCGGCAAUGGACGAAAGUCUGACCGAGCAACGCCGCGUGAGUGAAGAAGGUUUUCGGAUCGUAAAGCUCUGUUGUAAGAGAAGAACGGGUGUGAGAGUGGAAAGUUCACACUGUGACGGUAUCUUACCAGAAAGGGACGGCUAACUACGUG